CUGUUUGGCAGCUCGUAAAGAGUGACAAUGCUGCACCGUUCAGCCGCCUAAACUUCCAGCCGCCCCAUCACUUGUGUUGACGCUUUUUACGCGCUCAGUCCUGCGCGUCCCGGGGCGGCGACAGACCUCAGUUUCGAUGCGUGAGUGUUUGAGCCACCGUGCAGUCAUCGUGUGUGCUUUGGACUAUGGCUUCGGAUCAAGAGCAGAACGGAAAGCGUUUGAUACAGCUUCUGGAGAAACCCGGGAAUGGAAACUGUGCCGACUGUGGAGCUGCAGAUCCAGAGUGGGUGUCCUACACCCUGGGUGUGUUUGUGUGUCACAGCUGCUCAGGUCUCCAUAGAAACAUUGCUCAGAUCAGCAAGGUGAAAUCUAUCCUGCUGGAUCCCUGGAGCUCCUCUCAGGUGGAGUUUGUGGACUCUGUUGGUAACGAUGCUGCCAAUGCCAAAUACGAACAGAUAGUUCCUGCCUUCUUCUACCGACCCACAUACAAAGACUGCCUACUCCUGAGGGAACAAUGGAUCCGAGCCAAGUACGAGAGGAAGGAGUUUAUGUACGUGGAGAGGCAGGAGCCGUACUCAGCGGGUUACAGAGAGGGGUUUCUAUGGAAGAGAGGCAGAGACAACGGGCAAUUCCUCAGCCGGAAAUUUAUUCUCACUGAACGGGAAGGUGUUCUGAAGUACUUCAACAAGCAUGAUGCUAGAGAGCCCAAAGCAAUAAUGAAGAUCAGUACUUUGAACGCCUCUUUUCAGCCAGAAAAAUUGUGCAACCCACACGGCAUGCAGAUCACCUAUUUAAAGGACAACAGCACUAGGAAUAUCUUCAUUUAUCACGAGGAUGGAAAGGAAAUGGUGGACUGGUUCAAUGCAAUCAGAGCAGCCAGGUUUCACUAUCUGCAGGUGGCCUUUCCUGGAGCUUCUCACUCUGAACUGCUGCCAAAGCUUACCAGGAGCUACAUAAAGGAGGGUUUCAUGGAGAAGACUGGUCCAAAGCACACAGAGGGCUUUAAGAAGAGGUGGUUCACAAUGGAUGACAGGAGGCUCAUGUACUUCAAAGAUCCACUGGAUGCUUAUGCACGAGGCGAGGUGUUCAUUGGCAGUAAGGAAAACAGCUACACUGUGCUCCCCGGCCUCCCAGGAAACACUCAAGGCUACCGUUGGCAGUUUGGGAUAACCAUAGUGACCCCCGACAGAAAGUUUCUAUUUGCAUGUGAAACUGAGAAGGAUCAGAAAGACUGGAUCUCUGCAUUUCAGACUGUUAUCGACAGACCAAUGCUACCGCAGGAGUAUGCAGUGGAGGCCUAUUUUAAGCACAAACCAUAACAGGCUUAGUGUUUGAAGGACUUUUGCUGAGGAACCACAAAGCAAAGGAGUUAAAAGGUGGUGCAUUUCCCCCCCAUAUAACAGACGGUCUAAAUCUGAGAGAGAGCCCCAAUGAAAAGAAGAACUGAUACCUAAACAAUAUCACCUUUCUGGUAGAUCGGUAAUCUUCACAUCUUCCAUAGAAAUUCAAUAAUGCAUACAAAUACCUUUUAAAAUGACACAAAGGAGAAUCACUACCUCCAUAUUUCACUAACAGGGCCUUAACUUCGAGAGAAUCAAAGUUACAUUAAAUCAUUGUAGUUAUUCUGACAGCUGAAUUAAUGUGGGGAGAAAAUACUGUGCUCAGUUUUUCAUCAGUUUCUACUAAUUUACCUUUGCAAGCCUCUCUCCAUCUUCUCUCUUCACCACCCUCUCAUGAGUUGAAUCAGCCUGGUGCGACAGGAAAAACAGGGUCACACAUGAGAGCAUCAUGCAACACCAACAUCAGUGCUAAAAAACCACAACAUCCACCUACCCACUGGGCAGAUCGUCACUAUUUAUCCACAGCUUACGUUCAAGUGUUCCUGGUGUUCAGGUCUGAUAGCAGCUAAUGAGUCAAGAUUGGCUCUCACAGUGCUAAUUAGGGACUGAUAUGGAGUGUUGGGGACUGAAACUAGACCGAGCUCCAAGGCAGAGACAUCUGUCUCUGUUCAGAGGGGAGAUGUGAAUGGCAGUUAUACAAAAAAAUGUGUAACAGCGAUAUUUUCACAUUAACAGGUUGACGUAUUAUCAGACGUGUAUGUGAGUGUGCUGUAGAUAAACAUGAAUUUAGGGGAAAAAACAGUCACCUAUGAUUCACUGACUUAGCUUUCAACUGGUUUAGGUUUUUAUUUUGUUUUUUCUCAAACGCAAUCAGUGCUUCAGGCUGUGUGUGUAUGUAUUAGAAAUGUGUAUUGGGAGAAGCAGAUGGCCUAGUGGGCGGCCCGGGUUUGAGGUCCGACCUGUGGCUCCUCUCCUGCAUGUCAUUACCCACUCUCUCUCUGAUAUCCUACGCCAUCCACUGUCCUAUCAAAUAAAGGCUUUAAAGCCCAACACAGAUCUUUGAAAAAAGAAAUGUGGAUGGCUACUUAUGCUAAUAAAACAAUAUAUUUUUCUAUCCCA